GUGAAGAGAGCAUUACAAUCCCAAGCCUUAUUUAAGAGCAAGAACGCUAACUUAUAAAGCAGAUGAGACGUGCUGGAACGCUAGUGGCAGUCAUGCUGCUAGUCUGUCAAAGCUGUCAUGGUCUACUGAGUCCCCAGGCUUUGGGCACCAACCCUUCCCUCAGCGCCAACUUGGGCAACAGUCUCGCCACAACGCAGAUCCAAACUCUGGGUUUCAACGUCGCUAACUUCUUUCCUAACCUACUGGGCAAUUUCGUGCGCGUGAUUCCCACUUCGUGCACGACGGGACUAGGAGG